CUACCAUGCAGUCGAACGGAACAGACUUGAGAGUUUACUUUUGGAUCUGUUUAGUGGCGGACGGGUGAGUAACACGUGGGUAAUCUGCCUGAAAGACCGGGACAACAGGGUGAAAACGCUGCUAAUACCGGAUAAGCUCAGCGGGACGGAAGUCCUGGGGAGAAAAGGAGGAAUCCGCUUUCAGAUGAGCCCGCGGCUGAUUAGCCAGUUGGUGGGGUAACGGCCUACCAAAGCGACGAUCAGUAGCCGGCCUGAGAGGGUGUACGGCCACACUGGAACUGAGAAACGGUCCAGACUCCUACGGGAGGCAGCAGUGGGGAAUUUUCCGCAAUGGGCGAAAGCCUGACGGAGCAAUGCCGCGUGAGUGAAGAAGGCCUUCGGGUUGUAAAGCUCUGUCUUCAGGGACGAAGAAGUGACGGUACCUGAGGAGGAAGCCACGGCUAACUACGUGCCAGCAGCCGCGGUAAUACGUAGGUGGCAAGCGUUGUCCGGAAUGACUGGGCGUAAAGGGCGUGUAGGUGGACCGAUCAGUCGGGUGUGAAAGCUCUGGGCUUAACCCAGAAAUUGCAUUCGAUACGGUCGGUCUUGAGUGCAGGAGAGGGCAGUGGAAUUCCCAGUGUAGCGGUGAAAUGCGUAGAGAUUGGGAGGAACACCAGUGGCGAAGGCGGCUGCCUGGACUGUAACUGACACUGAGGCGCGAAAGCGUGGGGAGCAAACAGGAUUAGAUACCCUGGUAG
rnacentral:rRNA from 1 species